CAGUAGCCACGGUAAUACGUAGGUCCCGAGCGUUGUCCGGAUUUAUUGGGCGUAAAGCGAGCGCAGGCGGUUUGAUAAGUCUGAAGUUAAAGGCUGUGGCUCAACCAUAGUUCGCUUUGGAAACUGUCAAACUUGAGUGCAGAAGGGGAGAGUGGAAUUCCAUGUGUAGCGGUGAAAUGCGUAGAUAUCGGAAGGAACACCUGUGGCGAAAGCGGCUCACUGGACAUUAACUGACGCUGAUGCACGAAAGCUAGGGGAGCAAACAGGAUUAGAUACCCCAGUAGUCCCUGUCUCUUAUACA
rnacentral:rRNA from 1 species